CCCACCCCAACAAAAAUAGCCCUGCAAAUUAUUUUUCUUCUCCCUGCCCUUCCUCAACACCGCUCCUUCUUCUGCCCACAAUGAUUCCUCGAGCGACCUCAAUGCAGCUUUUUCUGACCGUUCCUCGGGAGCCAGCCUGGUCCCAGCUGGAUAACCCAGGCUUGAAAGAAUUACUUUUGGAACCUUGAUGAAACUUGGACAUUUUUUAUUUUGGGAGACCUCAAUUAUGGAAGUGAUCUGCUUACAUCGCCCGCCAUCACAGACAACGGGAGACAUAAAUAUUGGAGAUUUUUCUCCAGCUGCUUGCCACUUGGUCAGGAAAACAAUUGUAAUUUUCAAUGUCAGCAGGAUCAGAAUCCAGGCAUCGUAAAUGAGGGCAAGAGUUUUCUGUCUUUGGAUGUCACCUUUAGGAUCGACCGCCGAAAGUGUGUAAAGAACAUCUGGGGGGCUGGGGGUGGCAAGGGAGAAGAGAAAAGACUCCCAAGCAUAUAAAAUAUAAGUUAAUUUGGUGAAAGAAAAAUAAUAACUGUAGGUCACCAACUCGGUAUAGGUGGGGAGAUCCAGAAGGGAAUGAAAUAUCCCUUGGGAUACUUUAUUAAAUGUCAUUGAAAAAUAAAAAGCGGACCUCGGUCCCAUUGAUAGGU